rnacentral:lncRNA from 1 species
AUGGGAGAGGAAGGGACGAGCCCAGGCCGGGGUUUCCACGGCUGGCAGCCCGGCUCCCUGCCGCCCGCCCGCUUCUGGGCUUCUUGGCUGGGGCUGCUCCUGACAGAAGGGAUGCGUGUUGUCGGGGGCGGGGGGCGGCGUGUGUGCGUGUGCGUGUGCGAGAGUAUGUGUGUGCGCUUAAAAUACAAAAAAAAGAAGGCUGGCUACACUCAGCUGCGAGAGGCUGGCCGGGCUCCGUCCGUGCCAAUUCCCUCCGAGCUGGCACCGUGGGGACCGGGAGGGGGGAGAGGUGAGGGAAGAUGGACGCUUGCCACGGACGAGCGGCAGGGCUGGGCGCCUCCCGGGUGCCAGCGGGCGCACGGGGCCAAAACUCACAAACAAAAACCGCAGCAGAUCGCUGGCAGCCCGUCCUGGGGAGGCGGCAGCCACUUGGCAGAGGAGCCAUGGAGGACCCGGCUGGGAGUAGGCGGCCGGCGCACAGGUGCGCACUGAGAGCUCAUCGCCUCUCAAAGGCAAGGACCACGUGGGAGGUUCCCAGCCUCCUUUGCAGCUAGGCACAGCCAUGUGACCCAUGUAGCCAAUAAGCUGGAAGGGGAGAUCUGCCUGGAGGUUUCCGGGAAAGAUUUUCCUCCCUGGCUCCUUUUCUUCCCUCCUGGAACGAGUAGUCAGAAGUUGUGAGAGUUGGAGCUAUGGCAGUCAUCUUGGAACCGUGAGGCAAAGAGCCAGAAGACAAGAAGCCAGCACACAGGAGCUGGCAGGGCGCAAGGGUGCAGAGAGUCAGGGCCCCUGACGAUGUCGCUGACUUGCUGCAGCCACUCCAGCCCCUGCUCCAGAGCUCCAGGUAACUAAAUGGCUGUUUGUCGACCUCUCUUCACUGGAGAUCCCGUCACUUGCAGCUGAAGUCUUGCUAACGGAAAUGUGAAGCUAUGUGCCCGUGAGCCCCUGGGCUCAACCAGGGCCUGCCAGCCCUGCUUAGGGCCACAGUGGAGGGAGGACACGAAGAGGAGGCGCCAGGAGGGCUCUGCCCCUCACUGCCUAGCGACCUUGGGCAGACCAAUGGAGCCACCCCCACCGGGCCUCUGUUUUCCACUGGACAUCGGAAGGGCCCUACAGGCCCCGGCCGAGCCGCCUCCAAUGUGCCCCAGUCUGGAACCACCACACUGGGCCGUCUCUGAGGGCUUGCUCACAUCACCCACGGCCCACGACUUUAGGAGGGCAUGCUUGAGCUGGCGGUGAGGGAAGGGACAGUGGUGGGCAUUCUAGGGGAGGAGUUUGUAGAAACUUCCUGGAGCCACAGCCGUGGAGGUGAGCAAGGAGGUUGGCUUGUUCGGGACCUGGAACGCUGAGCUCCGGCAGCUUUGCUUCCGUGGGAGAUGGGGAGCUGGUGAAGGUUCUUGAGUGGAAGCAUCCCCCAGUCCAGUCUGAGUCCUGGCUCUGCUCCCAGCUCCCGGGCUCCCAGGCAACUCCAGCUCUGCUGGGAGCAGGUUCGGUC